ensembl:lncRNA
CUGCAUAAAAAGACAAGAAACUAGCCCUCUAAAAAAAUGUGGGGAUUGUAAGAGUUCCGGAAAUGUGUUUUUCUUUUCUUUUUUUUUUUCUUUUCAGCCUUUGCGUGGGAAACAAGUUCACCAUGCUGUGCGUGCAUUUCUGAUUCACAGUUUCUACUGUAUGCCUUGUUAUUAUCGCCUGGUAAAGGAGCAGAUCUAGAGGGUGUUUUGGUGAACUGGGAUGUUUGGCUGCUGUUGUCCCCUCCACACCAACCCCCACUCACGUGUUCACUCAGGUUUAAUGACGGUGGAGUGGCUGGCCGCUUUAUGUCCCAGGGUACCCUCAUGUUUGUGUUACGUUCUAGCUAUCCCUUAGCUAGUCUAGCCAGAAUCCCCUAGCUUGCACUCUGCACACAAUGUACAUUGUCCUUAACCAUUAUGUGACACUUAGCAUACCCAGUAAUCUGUUUCUUUCUCUAUCUCUCUCUCUCUCUCUCUCUCUCUCUCUCUCUCUCUCUCUCUGAUCCUGACCCCUUCUGCUCUACAG